UGUAAGGGCAGGUUUGCGAGGGGGUUGAGGGUGACGUCUUGAGGCGGGGGACACUUGUCCCUGUUGAGCUCAGAUUAACGAGCUCAUAAUGGGAUCACGGGCCCGCGGGGCCUCUAGUGAGGGUGGAAAUCUCCAGCGUUGUCACACGCGCCCUGUCAGCCAUGGGACAAAAGGGCUGCCGCUUCUCCCUCUUCUUCUUCUCGCCGGUGCAGGUAGGACGGGCGUGGGAAUUGAGUUUUCUGCUUUUAUUCACUCUAUUGAAAAUCAUGUACAGCGACUGAAUAUGUAGUUAGCCCAUCAUAUGAUUCUACCUGUAAAAAUUGACACUCGUGUUGACAUAUUUAUACACCAUAUCACACAAUACAUGUAUAUGCUAUUUAAUUACUUCCUAUGUACUUUUGGUUGGGCGCAAUCUUAGUUACCUUGCAUUUGUGGCUUGUGCAAUCACAUUUAAUUUCAUCUAAUC